UAAAAAACCAUUAUUUUCAUGAAUUGGAUUUUAAAAUGAAUUCAGUUUUAUCAUUGUCGAAUUCUUUUGGACGCAGUUUCGAUGAAUUCAAGCAGAUACAAAUAAAAAAAAGUGAAGAAAUUCUUCAUAAAAAAACAUACAAUGAAACAAUAUAUACUGAAAAGAAAACUGUGAACAAACAUAUAUUAAGGACUUUUUUUGAAGGUGUAACAGUAGAGCCUGUUACCUUUUGCUACGCAUGCGCUUUAAUUCUUCAUGCCCCACUAAUACAACAAUACAUAUACCAACGCAUUAGCGAGGACUAUCAAAUGUCUGGCAAAAUUAAAGAUGAUGUCAGUGGUUGUGAAUUAUCGGCUAUUGAAAACGAUAACGCCACGUAUGAAAUACGGAAAAAUGUGCAAUCAUUAACAUCGUAUGUUCAUCUUGGAAUUAUACUUUCUGCUGCUUUACCAUCGUUAUUCAUGGCAUUAUUAUUAGGAACAUGGUCAGAUAAAGUUGGCCGUCGAAUAGUAUUAUUUCUUCCUGUUCUUGGUGGGCUUUUAGACUGUAUUUGCAUCCUUAUAACAAUGUUUACACGAGCGCCACUUUUUGUGUUAUUUAUUGGAAGUUUUAUAAAUGGAUUAGGAGGUUUUUUCACCACAAUGAUUUUAGCGGUAUUUUCAUAUAUAGCUGAUAUCACAGAUGAAGAUAACAGAGCAAUGAGACUUGGAGUUCUUGAAGCAGUAGCUUUUACAAGUGGAAUGAUCAGUCACAUGACAAGUGGUUGGUGGAUACAUCAUCUUGGUUUUAAGGCGCCUUACAUUUUUAUAUUUGCUCUUCAUUCCGUAGGGUUGGUUUACAUUAUUUUCGUUUUACCUGAAUCAAGUAGCGUAACAGAAAAACUGCAUCUCAAAGAUUUGUUUUGCAGAGCUCAUUUUAAAAAAGUAAUCAACUUAUUUACCAAAGCAGACUCAAGAUAUAAAUGGCAGCUCUAUGGGUUAGCUGUAACAUCAGCACUAAUGAUGAUAUCAUCAAUUGGUUUUGGAAGCGUAAUUGUUCUAUUUGCUUUAGAUGCUCCGUUUUGCUUUUCACCUAUCAUGAUCGGGUAUUUUUUAGCUGAUUGCAUGUUUAUGCAAGCUCUGGGUGCAGUGUUUUCAUUAAUGCUGCUACGUAAAUGUUUUUCUGAGAUUUUUUUGACACAGCUUGGAAUUGCCUCAAUUAUAGCAUCACUUGUAAUGAUUGCUCUUAUAACAAAAAGGUGGCAAAUGUUUCUUGUGCCGUUAGCCGGUUGUUUUGGUGGGGUAUGCAUGCCUGUAAUAAGAGCAAGAAUGUCAAAGUUGGUUGAUAACAGUGAACAAGGAAAACAAACUAUCUGGUUUUAAAGAUGCUGUUAUCAAAGCGAAAGAUUAGUCAGAAGAACUACAAAUGAAGCCUGUUUUCAAACCUUUAAAAAGGAUAAAACAAACUAAGCUCUAACAUCAGUGAAAGACACAGCUAGAUGGCUAUUCGAAAAUCUGGAAUUUCUUGAAUAAUGUUGACAAAACCUCUUGUAUAAUUAUGACAAAAACUAUUUUUCAAAAACAAAACUCACUGUGAGUUCAAAGUCUGGUAUAAUCAAUCACAAAGCAAUAUAUCAGAAUACUAUAUUACAGAUUAGAAUAGUAUUGUGGUCUGUGAUUAGUUAAAUUUUCAAUAGUAUUCUGGUCUGUGAUUAGUUAAAUUUUCAGAUAUA
rnacentral:misc_RNA from 1 species